GCAUAUUUUUACAUCAUUAACAAUUUAACAUUGUCUAGAAAUUGUUAUUUACAUUAUAUUAUGACUUUGCUUAAGAGAAUGAUUCGAUAUACAUAAGUGGUUGAUGACAAGUGUACGGUAGACUGUGUUUCUAAAUAUUUGUACACUGUGAUAGACCACAUACGAAAAGAAUAGGCCCUAAAGAAGUUUAAGUUCACAAUGUAAAAUAUUCCGUUAAGAGGUCACUAUACUCACAUGUGCUGUCUCAGUCCAACUAACAAACAAUUUAGCAAAAUCUACCUUACGCAGUGUGCAUAGAAUAUGAUUAAUGUUUAGUUAUUAUCCAGCAAUAACAAAGCACUACUGGGUUAGCUAGUAAUACAUAAAGUAAUAAGUAU